rnacentral:misc_RNA from 1 species
AAGUCGUAACAAGGUUUCCGUAGGUGAACCUGCGGAAGGAUCAUUAUCAUACAACCGAGGCGCAAGGGCUGUCGCUGACCUUUCAAAGGUCGUGCACGCCCGAGCGUUCUCACACAAUCCAUCUCACCCCCUUUUGUGCAUCACCGCGUGGGUCCCCCUUUGCGGGAGGGCUCGCGUUUUCACAUAAAACUUGAUACAGUCUAGAAUGUUUAUUUUUGCGGUCACACGCAAUCAAUACAACUUUCAACAACGGAUCUCUUGGCUCUCGCAUCGAUGAAGAACGCAGCGAAAUGCGAUACGUAAUGUGAAUUGCAGAAUUCAGUGAAUCAUCGAAUCUUUGAACGCACCUUGCGCCCCUUGGCAUUCCGAGGGGCACACCCGUUUGAGUGUCGUGAAAUCCUCAAAACCCUUUUCUUUGAUCCUUUUGGGUCGGGAAUAAGAGUUUUGGACUUGGAGGUUCAAUGCUUGCUUUCAUUUUUGAAAGCGAGCUCCUCUCAAAUGAAUUAGUGGGGUCCGCUUUGCUGAUCCUUGACGUGAUAAGAUGUUUCUACGUUUUGGAUUUGGCACUGUUUCCUGGAUGUCCGCUCCUAACCGUCUCAUAGACAAUGAUGGUGCUCCGGUCGUCGCCACCUACGUUGGCGGAAGGCUGGGCCCACAAAAAAAACAUUGACCUCAAAUCGGGUGAGACUACCCGCUGAACUUAAGCAUAUCAAUAAGCGGAGGAAAAGAAACUAACAAGGAUUCCCCUAGUAACUGCGAGUGAAGCGGGAAAAGCUCAAAUUUAAAAUCUGGUGGUCUUUGGCCAUCCGAGUUGUAAUUUAGAGAA